rnacentral:lncRNA from 1 species
CUCUGGCAUGAUUCUAGAACCUGAGGACAGAGGUGUGGUGUUGGUGAAGGUAGUGACCAAUAGUUGACGUUCAAUCAACUGGCUGCUGGGGUCCAGCCUCUUCAAGAGUUGGAGUCAUCAAGGACUAGGGUACCUGAAUUGAGACUAAGACUGGAGGAACAGCUGCAGAAUUACUCAUCUCUGCCAGUGGCCCUAGUUACAGGUGACACAGCUUCCCUUCUCCUAUGAUGCUGAGGAUUGAAACUAGGGAUUCAUGCACGCCAGAAAAGUAUGUUGUCAACUGAGUUAUAUCUAUAGCCUGUGUCCUAAUAUUAUUAAGGGCAUGAGGCAGCUCUUGAUUUAUUGAACAGUUAUAUUUCUUCAUAAUUUUUACCUAAGGCUUGUUCCUAAUAUUUUAAAAACCUCUGCUUCAACUAACCUAUUCAAAUCGUGCUGUAAGGAAGCAGUUCUCUGAAUCUUCCACAAGCUUGCUUAUAAGAACAUCUUUAUGAGAAAUGCUGCUCGUGGUU